CCUACGGGGGACAGCAGUGAGGAAUAUUGGUCAAUGGGCGCGAGCCUGAACCAGCCAAGUCGCGUGAGGGAAGACGGUCCUAUGGAUUGUAAACCUCUUUUGUCGGGGAGCCAAAGACGCCACGCGUGGCGUUCCGAGAGUACCCGAAGAAAAAGCAUCGGCUAACUCCGUGCCAGCAGCCGCGGUAAUCCGGAGGAUGCGAGCGUUAUCCGGAUUUAUUGGGUUUAAAGGGUGCGCAGGUGGAAGAUCAAGUCAGCGGUAAAAUUGAGAGGCUCAACCUCUUCGAGCCGUUGAAACUGGUUAUCUUGAGUGAGCGAGAAGGAUGCGGAAAGUGUGGUGUAGCGGUGAAAUGCAUAGAUA
rnacentral:rRNA from 1 species